rfam:Hordeum vulgare subsp. vulgare, WGS project CAJW01000000 data, contig: morex_contig_57715
GAUCUACUCCCUCCGUCCCAAAAUAAGUGUCGCUCAUUUAGUAUAAAAUUUGUACUAGUUUAGUUAUAAAUUUGUGACACUUAUUUUGGGAUGGAGGGAGUAUUAU